GGGGCUGCCUGGUUUUGACAGCGGGUAGAAGUAAUGCGUAAGCAUGCAGUGCAUUGUCUGAUAAGCACUUUAAUCUCAUCGGGUAAACUAUAACUGGCGAGAAUAACUACGCUCUUGCUGCCUAACCGAAUAAUAGUAGGUCGGCUUAAUCUCGGCACAAGGUGCUGAGACAAGACAUCACUCAGAAGCCAAGCCCUGAAGCGUCUGGCAAAGUGGUGUGGUAAAAUCGGGGAUAGCAUGUGCCGGCCGUGCGGCGUGUGUGAGAUUUUAGCGGAUAAGGCAUUCGUUGGUGGCUUCGGUCUUGCGGAUGCACGAAAACCGAAGGCGAAGAUAAGCAUGUAGAAAGCGGAUUGGUUCCUCGUUUGGACACGGGUUCGACUCCCGUCAGCUCCACAA
rnacentral:tmRNA from 1 species